GACAGUAACAUACCACUGCACAAAGCAGGCUCACUGAGGGAACUGGAAAACUGUUCAGUUCUGUGGCUUUUACGGGCCAUGUAGACAGAGGAAGGGGGCUAAGAUGUGUAAGGGAAUCAAAACCAUUUCAUUUCUCUUUGUGCUUACUGGCCAGCCGUGUCUCCUCUUCUGUGACUGCUCCUGUACUCUGCCCAUUUAUCUCCACAUGAUUUGAAGAACAGCAGAGAUCUUAGAACGAUCUACUUCAGUGAUUCUCAAGAGAAAAGAAAC
rnacentral:lncRNA from 1 species